UAUGGGAGGGGGCGGCGGCAGUGGCGGCGGAGUUGUGCAUGGCUUUGAGGAAGGGGCGGCUCAUUGGCGGGACAAAGAUCGCCAGCGCGGUGUAGCGGUGCGGGCGGCUUCAUGGCGGAGGCCGCGGCCAUGAGCGGCGGCGGCGAGCGAGUGCCAGAGCAGCCUCAGCGGGCGGAGAACAGCAGCGGCCUCUCCGGCGGGGAGAACCGAGCUGCAGCCGCCGACGCGGAGAACUCCACACAAAAUGGCGGCCGCCCUGAGAGGAGCAGGAGCGACGAGGAGGCGCCGUUCGGGGCCGCCGGCGAGGGCAGGGGAUCCCCGCGCGGGGACCACCGCAAGGGCAGCGGCCCCGAGGCCCCCGAGCAGCAGCCCCAGUAUAGCGACGGGCUAACCAGAGCCCCAGAAGACAACAUGCCCCUUAAGAAAAACUUUCAGAUCCCCAGGAAGAGCAAAGAAAAGAAAGCUCUUUUUCAGCCAGUAACAGCAGGAUCUCGUGAAUUUCAAGAGAUUGUGAACAUUUUGCAUUCAUCAUAUAUGGAAAACCAUUCAAAGGACAAUUUCACCUACAAAAAAGCCAGUUUGGUUCAUAGUGAACUGUUGGAAAAAGAGUUCAUAGAGAAACGAAGAGAACUGAAGCAGGAUGGCAGAUCGGAAAAAGAGCUAGAGGAAACAUUUGCAUUUCUAAAGGUUGACCGUGACAUGGUGCAAAACAUAUGUGAAAAUGGCUUGCAGGUGGGCCAUUCCAAGAUAACAGUUCUUGGCAACCCUUCCCUAGGUGUAUAUCUUUCUAGGUAUGCUGAUUUAUUGCAAGCCAAUCCUCUGGAGGCUAGAGCAGUGGGUGAUAUUAUUAUUUUUAAAGUAAUAAAAGGAAAAAUGAAGGCAGUAUACAGUAACCUAGCAGUGAAAUCAGUUGACUCAACUGUUAAAAGUGGAUUAGACCCUACACCAAAGCAUGAAUGCCAUGUUUUAAAGAAUGCAGACAAAAUCCGUUCCUUCCUACGUUACAGAGCAUAUGAGCUCACACAGUAUUAUUUCUAUGAAUAUUACUUUGAUGAGAUCAGACCAAGACCAAGACCAAGGCAUGUGUGUCCAUAUGCUGUUGUAUCAUUUUCUCACAGUGAUGAAAAGGUACUAAAGUAUUUGCCACAAGCAAGAACAAAGAUUUCUAAUGUGGAUAAAAGCACUGAUAAGGCAAGCUACACCUUAUGGAAAGGGCAGCUUUUAAACAGAGGGACGCUUGUAUGCCAUGCUGCUUUGAAAUCAGAAAUGCGUCCUUUGCUUCCCUGCAAACUACCUGAAAAGCUCGAUGUUGACAUGGUUAUGAACAUUGAACACUUAAAGCACGUCUUUCCACGUGUGUUGCAGAAAGAAAUAUAUUCAGGAGAAAGGGAAGAGUACAGGAAUGGAAUGUAUUGCAGUCUGUAUGAAGUUGUGGAAAAGACUAGAACAGGAAGUAAUUUGGAAGGUUUACUUCAAAAGCUAGAGACAGACAAACUAGUUAUUGUAAAACCACUUAUAGACAGGGGAUAUCUCUUGCUGCUUUCUUCUUAUCAAAUGGCUUCCCCAUAUGACAACAGAAAGCCUCACAUUCUGCAGGCAUUGUUUCUAUUUCGGAAUCCUAGAGGUGUUGUGACUUCAGUUCUAAAAAAUGAACAGAAAAGUGCAAAUACGUUAUUAACGCAGGAAGCCCAUGUGGUCAUACCGGAAUUUACAAGAUUUAUUCAGUCGCUACAUUAUGCUUAUAUUCAUUCUCGUAAAGACACUAAAGUAGACUUAAAUACUGCGGUGGAAAAGCAUAUAAAUGACUAUCUGAAGCGAAACAGUAAAUUUAAUAAAGAGUUCAUUUUAUAUAAUUAUAGCACAAUCUUGGAUGAGAAAAAGCACCUAUAUCCUGCACCAAAAAACAAAUCCAAUAUUGAAAGCGCCUUACGCAACUACAUUUUUGGUUCAGAAACCUACCAGAUGUCUGUUUCUAAAGCAAAAAAAAUUAUGGAUGGAAAUCGGAAGCCUCAGCAGUUUAGUCCUAUUUCAGAUUAUGAAGCCACAGAGGAGGAAUCUGACUACAGAAAGAGAAAAGCUAGGAAAAGAAAUGGUUCUAAAUGUGAAACUGUAGUUGCCAAGAGAAAACCUGGUGACCCUGGGGAUUAUGAUCAAGAAAGUAUCAAAAAGUUGAUUAACUUAAUUCAGUGUACGAAGAAAAAUGUAGAUAGAGACUCUGACACGGAAGACAACAGAAAUGAAAGCAGACUGCAAAUUGAGAUAGAGAGCCCACAGAAACAUUUUAGAACUAGUGAGUCCUCAGAAAACAUUUGUCAGCAUGAAGGGGGCAGAGCAACAGAAUCGCUUCUUUCAAUUAUACAUGACCUUGGUGGACAUGAUACAGAUUUGAGGCAGCAAAAUGUUGCUAAUGCUCCCAGUAGUGACGUAUAUGGUUUCCUAAAGCGGAUUUCAGCAAUAAUUAAUAAGCAAGAUUCAGCAGAAAGCUAUUCAGAGCAACAGGUUGAAUACAACUCAAUUCUGCCACAGAUCAAGAACUUCCUUAAUGCUUCACAUGUUGAAAAUGUUCAAAGCCCAAAGUUGGAAGUGAAUGCAUCAUGCUUGCCUUAUUCUUCUGAAGUUUCUGCUAGUGAAGUAGACACUGAUCAUGCCCAACAUUUAAAAGAAACAAGCACUGGAAGUGUAAGUAGCUUUGAAGGUGGUAGCCCAUGUCCUAGCACACCCAUUGAACAUACUUAUCAUAGACAGCAUUCCAGCUCAUACAACGUUGAAUCAACUGAAAUGCAAUGGAAGCUGAUUCCUAUCACAGGAGGGGCAGGAAGAGUUCCUGAAGCGCACCUGAGAAAACAUGGAGAUAACCAAACAGGCUUGAAAUCUCGAGAAGAAUUACUGGCUUGCCCACCACCAAAGGAUGCUUCUGAAGAUGACCCCCGUAUAAAAAAAAGAAAAAGUUCUGAUCAUCAGUUUGAAUACUCUGCAUUUACAGACACAAAGAGGGGAAGAAUAGAAGAGGGAGUACAUACAGGUGAAGAGAAUUUUGAAGAUCGGUGUGAACUUGAGACAGAACACUUUUUGCCACAUAAGCACUCCAUAACUGGAAUAAUAGAAACAGCAAUAUUGGAAGAAUACAAUCUCUUUACCAAUAAGGUUCAGAAGAUUUUGAAGCAGAAGAAUAUCAUGUAUGUCAGUGCAAUACCCAGACCUGUCCUUUCAGCCCAGGAGAAGGUAAUAAGACUUUCUGAAUAUAUAUGCUUACAGGCAUCAGAUAUUGCUGUCCAGGAAUACAUAGAGAACCUGAGUGAACAGCUCAGCAAUGUUGUUGCAUCGUCAUCUUCGUAUGCUAUCCACAGUGCCCCGUUUACUAGAAGUCCUGGACCAGUAAGCGAUUCAGUUACUGACACUGGAUUACAUUUGCCACCAGAAGAGCCAGUAGCUCUUCCAAGUGGUUUUGACAUGGAGCGGUUUCCAGAACCACCAUGUAACAAAUUGGAGGAAGAUUCAAGCAUUAAUGAGCAGAAUCAUUUAGCGUUCUUGGACACAGGAAAAAAACAGAGUUCCGGGAGCACCAACAUAGAAGUGAAGUCGCCAGCUAAUCCAAAUGUGUCUACUGCUGACCCUGGGCACCAUCCGGAUAAGAUUCCAACAUCUACAGAUAACCUUGCAACCCCGCCUAACAUCAGUGCUAUGAUAAACCAGAUAUCAUUUGAGGACGGCUUUUUCAAACGCAUCUUCAAAAUUAUUAAAGAUGUCCAAAAAAAUGUUGUGAAAUUCUACAUUCAUGAAAAACAAGAGAAUGCACUUUGUAAAGAAAUAAAAGCAUAUCUUACUAAAUUAGGUAAUACAGAGUGCCAUCCUGAGCAAUUCUUGAGAGGGAGAACCGAUGUGGAUAAAUUGCUUAUAAUCAUUCAAAAUGAAGAUAUUCACAGUAUAAUUCAUAAGAUACCGUGUUUAGUAGCUUUGAAGAGGCUUCCAUGUGUCGAUUUUGCUGGUGUUGACAGUUUGGAUGAUUUGAAAAAUCAUACUUUCAAUGAUUUAUUUGUUUCUGGUGGCAUCCUUGUCUCUGAUGAAUCUGUUCUCAAUCCAGAGUCUGUCACAGUUGAUAAACUUAACAGUUUUUUAAAGUUCCUUGAAGCCUUGAGUACUCCACAUGGGAAAUGGCAAUGGAAAGUUCACUGUAAAAUACAGAAAAAAUUGAAGGAACUUGGCAGAACGAAUAGAAAUGCCACAAGCUUGCUGAUACUCUUGAAUACCUAUCAAGAGAAACACCUGGUUGAGAUUCUGUCAUACCAUAGUUGUGAUUCUCAAACUCGAAAUUCUCCAGACCUGGAUUGUCUUAUAAGACUUCAAGCUCAAAAUGCACGGCAGAGGCACAUUGUCUUCCUGACAGAAAAGAAUGUGUUAACAUUUGCAACGUACGCUGAAAAUGGAAUAGUGGUUACUACAGUAGAUCGCUUCAUGCACAACUUUAAAAGUCUCGUUGGACACCAUAACUCCCAUUCCCCCAUUGAUCAUGAAAGACAAUCAGAUGCUGUUUUGACAUUAAAUCCUUUGGAGCUGGAAGUUGGGGUUUCCCAACAGUAAGCAUGAACACAUUUCGUGGAAGCUUUUAGCAUCGGACUAUCCGGACGUUCACCCAGAGGGUUAAAUGUGUGUUGAGUGUGUGACAAAAAUGCCAGAAGACCCAUCCCCUAAGUGAAAUGCGACUUUCAGACCUGAAGCCUAACACUGUCAGCCAGCAUGCAGAUUGCCAGUUAUUAGUCAUCCACUGAUUUACUGAUGCUGCAAGAAAACUAAUACCAGAUACCGUUUGGCUGCUGAUAUUGUGGAUCAUGUGUUGAAGGCCUGGUCAUGGGUGCAUCUGGAUCAAGGCCACUGAGGUAGAGAGAAGAGGCAAUGCAGCAGGAUUGACCUUUUAUUUCGGAGGCUGCCUGGGACCCAAAUAAUUGGAUCACUGAAAACUACUGCCGUAAUCUCUUGGACCAAAGUGGAGGACAUUGCUAAUGCCACAUUCUGUGAAGCUAGACAUGACAGUCCGACCACUACCAAGAAGGGAAUGGAAGCGCAUUGUGCCACGCUUGGUAAAGUUCGGCUUGAUGAUCCACUCUUCUCUUCCAAGAAGGGAAUAGAAGCGUGUACCCCAUUCUGUAGAGCUGGGUUUGGCAAUCCCACCUCCACUGAGCGGGGAACAGAAGCCUAUUCUGCCAACGUGGGAAGAUCAUCGCUCUCCAGUAAGUGAAUCUGUGGUUGGAACUGCCAUUGUGUUCUCAGGUGGCGCAAGGAGCAGUCUUGGUAGCCUUUACAUGCCUCAGUUGGAAUGUACAGACUCUCUGCUGACUUGUUGCUGCAGUGAGCAACCUGGUCCAAGAUGGUGCUGCUGGAGACUGGAGCGCGGAAGAAAAAAUGUGAGAACCAGAGUCUCAAUCUAUUUUCCCUACUGCCUCUGAGAAAUGAACAGCUGUAUGUAUUUCUGCACCAAAACAGGCCAGCAGCAUCAGGCAUAGGCAAGUUUGUGUGGUGACACAUUGUCUUGAUCUGAAUAAAACAAGAAUGCAUGUGUAUCUGCAUCUACUUCAGCAGCUACCAGACCCCCACCUUUUGCAGAUCUGUACAUUGUUUUCCAGAUACCAGCAUUUUAUUUGCUUUUUGAUUUGCUUUUAAUAUUUGGAUUCUGCUUUUCCACCAAGUAGAGAGCUCAAGGCUCAGAAUAACAACAACAUUGGAAAUUGGUGAAUGUUUAUAUCAAUGUAAUUUGAUACAAACACAUAAUAUAAGGCAAAAAUAAAUUCAGCAAGCAAUA